rnacentral:lncRNA from 1 species
UAUUUAUUUAAAAUUUGAUUCUGAUUCUUAAAAUCAAUUUUUUGAUUUUAGAGGUCAAAAAUAAAAAACAGUUAAAACAUGCUUCUUGAAAUUUGAUUCUGAUUUUGGACUUUAAAAUUAAAUUUUAGAUUCAAAAACUAAAAUUUAAAUUCAUAUCUUAAAUUUUAAAUUUUAAGUUUUAAAUUUUAAAUUUUAAAUUUGUAUUUAUUAUUUUCAAACACAAUUUUUUCUCGCCAAAUAGCUUUAACAAAUUUAUUUCAGAAAAAUUAUAUUUCUACUAGACUCAGCCAAACGCUGUAUAGCCUUUAACCAAAAUUAAUUCUCCAAGCUAAAAUUAAUUCUCCAGAAGUUACUUUUUCAAAAUCUAGGUAUUUCUUACAAGAGUAGAGCUACUGUGCUAUUGGAAGCAUAGAGGAUCUGGUGCUUCCGACAUUUUCGUCCUUAGAUCCGCUCCUUCAAUUAUUUCUAACAUUUGGAUUAAUACUAUUAUCCUGUAGGGACUACUCAGCCCUAGGGAUACUACUCAACCUUAGGAGAGACCGUAAUCAUCCCAGCCAAACAAUUCUUGAUCUAUGAGUCAAAAAAUCGAAAGCAUCAAAUUCUUUAUACUUCCGAUAGCAUAGUAGCUCUACACUUUGUUACAAUUUUUAAUUUUAAGACUUUUAUAAUAAUUGAGUUUUAUUUCAACAUUAAUGCAUG